rnacentral:rRNA from 1 species
UACGAAGGGGGCUAGCGUUGCUCGGAAUCACUGGGCGUAAAGCGCACGUAGGCGGCUUUCUAAGUCAGGGGUGAAAUCCUGGAGCUCAACUCCAGAACUGCCUUUGAUACUGGAGAGCUCGAGUCCGGAAGAGGUGAGUGGAACUCCGAGUGUAGAGGUGAAAUUCGUAGGUAUUCGGAAGAACACCAGUGGCGAAGGCGGCUCACUGGUCCGGUACUGACGCUGAUGUGCGAAAGCGUGGGGAGCAAACAGG